GCUUACGGCCACACCGGCCUGAUACGCCUGAUCUCGUCCGAUCUCGGAAGCUAAGCAGGGUCGGGCCUGGUUAGUACUUGGAUGGGAGACCCGCCUGGGAAUACCAGGUGCUGUAAGCU
rnacentral:rRNA from 1 species